CAGCCGCCGCGGGAAAACGUAGGGUGCAAGCGUUAAUCGGAAUUACUGGGCGUAAAGCGUGCGCAGGCGGUUAUAUAAGACAGAUGUGAAAUCCCCGGGCUCAACCUGGGAACUGCAUUUGUGACUGUAUAGCUAGAGUACGGCAGAGGGGGAUGGAAUUCCGCGUGUAGCAGUGAAAUGCGUAGAUAUGCGGAGGAACACCGAUGGCGAAGGCAAUCCCCUGGGCCUGUACUGACGCUCAUGCACGAAAGCGUGGGGAGCAAACAGGAUUAGAUACCCCCGUAGUCCCUGUCUCUUAUCC
rnacentral:rRNA from 1 species